AACCCAUGUUGAGCGCAUCUUCAUAAAAGGUCAUUGUAUCUCUCCCAUGCAUCGUAGAGUGUUUCUAAAUCCAUCUGCACAAAAGAAGAGAUAUCCUUAUGUAAUU
rnacentral:snoRNA from 1 species